rnacentral:lncRNA from 1 species
CCCAAGUGCCUCUUGCUACAGGCCCCGCCUGGUCUUUUCCAUGAGGUGCCAUCAGCCCCAUUUCUGGAAGAAUAAAAAAGUGAAAGAAAAAAAUGCGGAGGAUUUCACAUACUUUGGCUCAGGGCCUUGUUGGAAAUGAUCAGAGAAAUGUCCUUCGAGUGAAGCCCGAAGCCGCCAGCAUUGGUGUCUUCUGACCCUCCUGGCUGUUUGUAUACACCUGCAAGGACUGUAAUAUCCGGAGGCGUCUUGCCAAGAAUUGUCUGAAAAUGCCUCCCUCCUGGGCUUUGCUGUCAUGUGAGGAGUCAAGAUUCACUGGUGUCAGGGAUGUGAGGUUCUUUGACAGUUUUCCAGGCUUCUUCUGACAAAGUUUUGAACCGACUCUUCCUCAAGGUGACCUAUCUUCAGCAGAGCUGGAUCUUUUCUUCCUCAACUCUGUCAGGAGCAGGAGUGGGAGCUGGUCGCCUGGACCAGGCUGCAGAGCUGAGGCACCCAGCACUUUUUCUGCUCUGUGGUUCUUACUCUCAAGAACUGAGAGGAGUCAGUUAUGUUAGAAGCAGCUUUCUCCAAUUCCGGGGUUUAUGCCUUUUCCUUGCUCAGGACCUAGUAUUGCAUCAUUUGUUAUCCAUGGCAAUUUUGGUUCACUCAAGAGCCACUGCCAGAAAGUUGUCUUUCCCCACCCCCAGCAGCAAAGCAGCCCCCAAACAAGUCAUCUUAGGAAUUCCUCAAUUCCUGCAGAUGGGAAGGAGACAGCCACAGCGCAGCUCACGAUGGAAGCAGCACUGUCUUCCCCAGGCUACAGCCUCCAUUUGUAAAAUUCAAAGCCAUGCACAGAGACUGGGGGUGUGGAGCCUGUAAACCCUUUCAAGAAAAAAAUAAAAUAAAAAC